AGCGAACGCUGGCGGCAGGCCUAACACAUGCAAGUCGAGCGGCCGUAGCAAUACGGCAGCGGCAGACGGGAGAGUAACACGUGGGAACGCGCCCUUCGGUUCGGGAUAACUCAGGGAAACUUGAGCUAAUACCAGAUACGCCCUUACGGGGAAAGAUCUAUUGCCGAAGGAACGGCCCGCGUCCGUUUAGCUUGUUGGUGAGGUAACGGCUCACCAAGGCGACGAUCGGUAGCUGGUCUGAGAGGAUGACCAGCCUCACUGGGACUGAGACACGGCCCAGACUCCUACGGGAGGCAGCAGUGGGGAAUAUUGGACAAUGGGCGCAAGCCUGAUCCAGCCAUGCCGCGUGGGUGAUGAAGGCCCUAGGGUUGUAAAGCCCUUUCAGCGGGGAAGAUAAUGACGGUACCCGCAGAAGAAGCCCCGGCUAACUUCGUGCCAGCCGCCGCGGUAAUAC
rnacentral:rRNA from 1 species